rnacentral:rRNA from 1 species
UACGUAGGGGGCAAGCGUUGUCCGGAUUUAUUGGGCGUAAAGAGCUCGUAGGUGGUUCGGUAAGUUCGGAUGUGAAAUCUCCAGGCUCAACCUGGAGGGGUCAUUCGAUACUGCCGUGACUAGAGGUCGGUAGGGGAGUGUGGAAUUCCUGGUGGAGCGGUGAAAUGCGCAGAUAUCAGGAGGAACACCCGUAGCGAAGGCGGCACUCUGGGCCAAUACUGACACUGAGGAGCGAAAGCGUGGGGAGCGAACAGG